rnacentral:rRNA from 1 species
AUUGAACGCUGGCGGCAUGCCUUACACAUGCAAGUCGAACGGUAACAGGUCUUCGGAUGCUGACGAGUGGCGAACGGGUGAGUAAUACAUCGGAACGUGCCCGAGAGUGGGGGAUAACGAAGCGAAAGCUUUGCUAAUACCGCAUACGAUCUCAGGAUGAAAGCAGGGGACCGCAAGGCCUUGCGCUCACGGAGCGGCCGAUGGCAGAUUAGGUAGUUUGGGUGGGAUAAAAGCUUACCAAGCCGACGAUCUGUAGCUGGUCUGAGAGGACGACCAGCCACACUGGGACUGAGACACGGCCCAGACUCCUACGGGAGGCAGCCAGUGGGGAAUUUUGGACAAUGGGCGCAAGCCUGAUCCAGCCAUGCCGCGUGCAGGAUGAAGGCCUUC